rnacentral:rRNA from 1 species
UACAGAGGUCUCAAGCGUUGUUCGGAUUCAUUGGGCGUAAAGGGUGCGUAGGCGGCGCGGUAAGUCGGGUGUGAAAUCUUGGAGCUUAACUCCGAAACUGCAUUCGAUACUGCCGAUCUUGAGUCCGGAAGAGGUGAGUGGAAUUCCGAGUGUAGAGGUGAAAUUCGUAGAUAUUCGGAGGAACACCAGUGGCGAAGGCGGCUCACUGGUCCGGUACUGACGCUGAGGUGCGAAAGCGUGGGGAGCAAACAGG